UGCCCUUUUGUUUGUAACUAGCUUAUGUAACAUAAUUAAGCUGUGUCUAAAGCUAUGAUAUAUUCUUGAAUGUUGAGAAAUUAAAGAUUACUUCGGAGGAAAUGUUCCACACUAGCGAUGCUGGUAGGACUCCUUGCAGUAUCAAUAUGUUUGCAGAAAUUUAACACAGAAUGAAGAGUGGUAAAUCAAUUGGUUCCGCAGUUCUAGCACACCAUGGACAUAUAUUUGAGGGCUUAUUUUCUACACGUGGAGACUACUAGCCAUUUUUCUUACUGCUAAACCUCUCAAAUUAUCACGUUCUUGAUAUAGAAAGUUGACCAGACCAGGAUAAGAAAAAUUGUUGGUGCCUCAAGAUCAACCCUAUCUCAGUCAUCAAAACUUUUUCCUUUAGUCUAGCCUUAUUUUAGUAUACCUUCCUUCUACUCUCCAAGUCGUUAUGUAAACUAAAUAUUGAUAUAUAGUGCUGUU
rnacentral:sRNA from 1 species